UACGGGGGGAGCAAGCGUUGUUCGGAUUUACUGGGCGUAAAGGGCGCGUAGGCGGCCACCGCAAGUCGACUGUGAAAUCUCCGGGCUUAACCCGGAAAGGUCAGCCGAUACUGCGGGGCUAGAGUGCAGAAGGGGCAACUGGAAUUCUCGGUGUAGCGGUGAAAUGCGUAGAUAUCGAGAGGAACACCUGCGGCGAAGGCGGGUUGCUGGGCUGACAAUGACGCUGAUGUGCGAAAGCUAGGGGAGCGAACGGG
rnacentral:rRNA from 1 species